UUUCCGUAGGUGAACUUGCGGAAGGAUCAUUAUUGUAUAAUCGAGGUUGGAGGGCUGUCGCUGACCCGAAAGGUCGUGCACGCCCGAGUGCCCUCACACACAUCCAUCUCACCCCUAUGUGCACCACCGCGUGGGUCCCCCUUUGGCUUGUUCGGAGGGGGGCUUACGUUUUCACACAAACUUUGUAUGCAGUGUAGAAUGUAUUUUUUGUUUUUGCGAUCACGCAAUCAAUACAACUUUCAACAACGGAUCUCUUGGCUCUC
rnacentral:misc_RNA from 1 species